GAUGAACGCUAGCGGCAGGCUUAACACAUGCAAGUCGAGGGGUAGGUUACUUCGGUAAUUGAGACCGGCGCACGGGUGCGUGACGCGUAUACAAUCUACCUUUUACAGAGGGAUAGCCCAGAGAAAUUUGGAUUAAUACCUCAUAGUAUUUUUGAAUCGCAUGAUUUGAUUAUUAAAGUUCCAACGGUAAAAGAUGAGUAUGCGUCCCAUUAGCUAGAUGGUAAGGUAACGGCUUACCAUGGCUACGAUGGGUAGGGUCCUGAGAGGGAGAUCCCCCCACACUGGUACUGAGACACGGACCAGACUCCUACGGGNGCAGCAGUGAGGAAUAUUGGACAAUGGGCGCAAGCCUGAUCCAGCCAUGCCGCGUGCAGGAAGACGGUCCUAUGGAUUGUAAACUGCUUUUAUACAGGAANAACACUCCGACGUGUCGGAGCUUGACGGUAC
rnacentral:rRNA from 1 species